rnacentral:rRNA from 1 species
AUUGGACGCUGGCGGCAUGCCUUACACAUGCAAGUCGAACGGCAGCACGGGUGCUUGCACCUGGUGGCGAGUGGCGAACGGGGGAGUAAUACAUCGGAACGUACCUUAUCGUGGGGGAUAACGCAGCGAAAGCUGUGCUAAUACCGCAUACGCCCUGAGGGGGAAAGAGGGGGGGCGAAAGAGCCCGCGCGAUUAGAGCGGCCCAUGCCUGAUUAGCUUGUUGGGGGGGUAAAAGCCCACCAAGGCGACGAUCAGUAGCUGGUCUGAGAGGACGAUCAGCCACACUGGGACUGAGACACGGCCCAGACUCCUACGGGAGGCAGCAGUGGGGAAUUUUGGACAAUGGGGGCAACCCUGAUCCAGCAAUGCCGCGUGAGUGAAGAAGGCCUUCGGGUUGUAAAGCUCUUUUGUCAGGGAAGAAACACCGGCUCUAACACAGUCCGGGAAUGACGGUACCUGAAGAAUAAGCACCGGCUAACUACGUGCCAGCCGCCGCCGUAA